GCUAACAUAGCUCAAUGGUAGAGCAAUUGCUUUGUAAGCAAUAGGUUUACGGUUCAAGUCCGUAUGUUAGCUCCA
rnacentral:tRNA from 1 species